rnacentral:lncRNA from 1 species
UUUUUUUUUUUUUUUUUGCUUUUAAGGGCUGCACCUGUGGCAUAUGGAAGUUCACAGGCUAGGGGUGUAAUGGGAGCUGCAGCUACCAGCCUAUGCCACAGCCACAGCAAUGCUGGAUCUGAGCCGCAUCUGUGACCUACACCAGAGCUCACAGCAAUGCUGGAUCCUUAACCACUGAGCAGGGCGAGGGAUCCAACCAACAUCCUCAUGGAUACUAGUCUGGUUCCUUACCGCUGAGCCACAACAGGAACUCCUCAAUAAAUGUUUCUGAGAUGAUGAAAAUUCUUUCUGAAAAGGGAUCAUAGCCACAACAAACGUCUUUUUUUGCUUUGUCACUAACAAAGUGCUUGCCCACUGGUAAUCUUACCUGGGGUAUUUGGGGCCCCCUUUAUGGAUGGCGAAACUGGCUCAGAGAGGUGAGGGAUCUGCCCAGGUCAUGCAAUCAAAUGGCAGAGCUGGGACUUGGGACAAGUAAGGUAACUGAUGAAACUCCCUGUCAAACCCCAAUCUUGCUUCUCUGUCAUUUAUUCACCCCAAUAACUUGCUACUGUUGACUUCUUUUAAUAAUACUAAUAUUUAACAUAUACUGAGUUUAAUACUAUUAUCAUUGCUAUUUUAUGGCCAAGGAAACUGAAGCUCAAACAGAUGAGAUGACCACCUAAGGUUACACAGCUCAUGGUAACCUUGGUAGGACUUGAGUUCAUACCCUAGUCUAUGAGAUUCAAGACUAUAACUACGAUGUUCUUUUGCCACUCUGGCUUAUUGAUCUGAGUUUAGAACUCACUUGAAUGGCAUAAUGGAUAAGGUUUGAGGGAACACCCCAUGAUUGUUUGGUCCAUAUGGUUCCAGCAACUCCUGCUUAAUGCCUUGGGCUCUUCUUAUAUUCCUAGCCCUAGAGUGGGAGAUCCUUUGAGACCCUGCAUAGAAUCUGGAGCAUCGGUAACCCAUGGAAGGCACCCUGGUAAGACAGUAAUGUGGAUUAUUUCAUUUAACCUUCACAACACCAGUGAAGCACAUGUAACCCAGGACUGUGGGAGUGAGAAGAACCCUUAUCAUGCGUGUGGAAGUGGUCUCAGCUGGGAUUCUCAAGUACUGAUGGGAUCCAGACUCGGCUCUGCCUCCAGCUGCAAAUUACUUUUGCGCACUCUGAUCCUUAGAUUUCAAGUCUGCAGUGUUCUACCUUUGAGCUGGAUGAUCUGGAAAUUCCUGGAGAGGAGGGGCUUGCCUGAGCAGUGCUUAGCACAGUGCUUAUCACAAGAGGACUGCAUAAACAGUGCUAUUAUUAUAAUCCAGAGACCGUGUUUUCGGAAAUGAAAAUUGGUGUGUACGAUCUGAUAAGUGAAGGGACCAUGGGCAGAGUAUUUGAAAUGGGAACUUCCUUGGAAACUUUGAGUUACAAAGUUUCAAUGUGGUUGUCAGGUUGUCUGUUACUAGGAAAUGAGGUAGCACUAAUUCUUUUUGUCUUCUAUAAAGUUUGGUUCACAUUUAUCCAAAGCUCACUGUGUACCAGACUCUGUGCUAAGACAUUUACAACCAUUCGCUCCUUUAGCCCUCAUAACCACCCCAUGUUGAGCAUCUCUGUUUCUCAGAUGAGGAAACUGGGGCUCAAGGACUGGGACAGUUUCCCAGGGUCUCACUACAGGCAGGAGAUCCAGGCUCAACCUGGUGCUCUGACUUGAGUCCUUGUUUUUGUCCCCCUGUUUUCCCUUCUCCGGCAUACUGAGUCCAACCCACCCCCUGCUUAUGUGGAAGUCACAUGAGCAUAACAUGUGCUCCAGACUCCUUAUAGCCAAUUAUUUAAUCUUCACAUCAUCUUUCUAAGGUGUGUGUUACUGUUGUCCCUCAUUUGAUAGAUGAAGGUCUUGAAGCUCCAAGGUCAGAUAGGUUGCCCAAGAUCAACCAGCCAAUGUUGGAUUCAAACCCAGACCGCUAGGCCUCUUUGACUUCAAAGCCUUGGGUUUAAGCCAGGGUUUCUCACACUUGGCACAGCUGACAUUUGGGGCUGGACAAAUCUUUGUUGGGAGGGGAAGGGGUAUUGUGUAUUGGAAGAUGUUUGAGAGUGUCCUCGACUUUUAUCCACUAGAUGCUAGUGACUCUCUUCCCCUAAUUGUGACAACCCAAAUCAUCUCCAGACAUUGUCGAAUGCUCCCUGGGUGCAAAAUUUCUCCCAGUUGAGAACUCUUACUUCUGGCUGGCUGCCCGGGCCACCUCAGGACUGGGGAUGCAUGCAAGAAGAGCUGAAACUUUUGUGAUCUUCUCUUAAGAGUCUGAGGGCAGGGAGUUCCUGUUGUGGCUCAGAGGGUUAAGAACCUGACGAGUAUCCAUGAGGAUAUGGGUUUGAUCCCUGGCCCCGCUCAGUGGGUUAAGGAUCCAGCAUUGCUGCAAGCUUCGGUGUAGGUUCUGGCAUUGCUGUGGCUAUGGCAUAGGUCAGCAGCUGCAGCUUCAAUUCAACCUCUAGCCUGGGAACUCCCAUAUGCCAAAGGAGUGGUCCUGAAAAGGAAAAAAAAAAAAAAAGGAAUCUGAGGGCAGGUAUUCCCGCUCUGUGACCCUGAAAUUGGCUGCCCCCUGCACAUCGAGGUAUUGACUGGGCCCUGCAGCCUGUUGGAGAGAGCCCAGGACAGCUGCAGGAGUUUUCACCUCUGGACUAACCUGGUGUGCACUCACCCAGCAGGCUGCAUCUUCAGAAGCUCUCCGGCCCAAGUUGAAUUUGUCUGGAGGCCAUUCAGAAAGCUGCCCGAGAUGAUUCUCUCUUGGCUCAACUUGGCUUUAUCUCUAGGCUUUGAUUUUAAAUAGGACUAAUGACCAUUUGAGAUUCAAAUUCUGCACCAACUGCCCAGAAACUCCUGGAGGAGCAGAUGGGACGCCUCCUUUAGCCUAAUUCACUGCUCCCAUCUCAACAAAUGCCCCUGUCCCCAGGGAAGUUAGAGUCCUAGGAAUUGUUGCCAGCCUCUCUCUCUCUGUCAACAUCCACUCUUAAGCCACCACCAGAUCUUCUCAGUUUGGAAUUCUAAGUAUGAUUUGGAUCCUGUGGUCCUGUCCAUCUCCUGCUUCCCCAAUCCAAGCCACCUCAGACAAAUGCAAUGUCCUCUGAAAGGCACCCAACUUCAUUGACUCCUGCCUUCCAUUCUGUUUUCACACUGUAGCUAGAGUAGCCUUUUAAAAAUGUUAAUCUGAAGCCGCCUACCCCCCUUCCCUUCCACACACAUUCCUACUCCUGCCCUAAAUCAUUCAAUGGUGCUUCCUGUCUCUCCCCAUCACUGCCUCGUCUCUAGACAUACUGGCUUGUCUCUUCUCAAUGGCACCAUAUUCUCUUCACCCCAGGGCUUUUGCAUAUGCUAUUCUCUCAGGCUGGAUGUUCUCACUAUCCCUCUUUGCUUAUCUGACUCCACUCAUCCUUAGCGGAGGUCUUCCUGACCCCUUCUCACUCAACCCAAGCCUAGUUGGUUCUGGAUCCAUCCUUACAUGUUAGAGCAGCAUCUCUCUCCUUCCUCACUUUUAUCUCAGCUUGCAGACUUAUUUGGGGGGUUGCUUAUUUGUUUAAACUCCUCUUCCCCUUAAGACUGUAAACUCCACAAUGGGAACAAUGUGUCUAUUUUUGCUCAUCAAUUACAUCGCUAAACAUCGCUAAAGCCUAGUAUAUUGCCUGAAACAUAGCAGGCACUUUAUACAUACUUACUGAAUGGCUGGAUGAGCUCAAAUAAUCCUCUCAACAAGCCUGUGAAAAUUUUGCCUGAGGCCAGUGCUCUUUCUCAGCUCUGACUCCCUAUAGCACCUGCUCUCCUGGCAUUAUGCAGCCGGGAGCAAUAGACUCUGAAAGACAUAAAGGGCUCUGGAGCCUAACCAGCUGGAUUUCAAAUCCCCCCUCUGCCAUUUCCCAGCUGUGUGACAUUGGAUAAUGUCCUUAACAUCUCUGUGCUUUAGUUUCCUCUUCUGUAAAAUGUCAGUAAUAAGAGCACCUGUCUCAUGGGGUGGUUGUAAGAGUCAAAAUAAUGGAGCUUCUAUAAAACGCUAUUAUAAGGGCUUGGCACAUAGUGUGUGCUCUAUUAAUCUUAGUUUCUAUUAGUAUUGUUAACAGAAAGACAAUAGAAUCUGGGAUUCGAUGAGUCUGCUUUUCUCUUAUACUUGCAGGUAAUUCCCUGUGUGACUGUGGAUAAGUCAUGUCACACCCCUGAGCCUGAGUUUCUCCAUCUGUUAGGUUGGGAUCACAAAGCCUACUGCAGAGAGGGCCUUUGUGAGAGCAGAGAGGAUGAGAGAGAGCAAGCACUCAGCACAGCACCCAGGGCAUGGUGAAUCCCUUCCUGACAGGCUGAACUAGCCCCUGUCGCCUCUUAGACAAGAGAAGUUAGGCUUCACAUUUACCUUAUCUAGGGCUGUUAUCUCCAGCCCCUCUGUACCUGGCACAUAGUAGGUGUUUAAUAAAUAGUUCUUUACUGUAUGAAUGAAUCAGUAAUCACAGGGACCACGCUUUUUUCAUCUUUGUAUCCACUCCAAGACUGGUGAAAUGCCUAGCAUCUAAUUUCAAUAAAUGUUUGUCGACG